GAGCAGAGGAUAGAGGAAGAUACUGGUGUAGGGUAAAGAGGCCUAAACCACUUCCUGACCUUUACACAGAGAUCCUAUUACUGGUUGAACAGGGUGACCCUCCUGCCGUCUCUCCCUCCACAUAUUCUCCUCCGUCAGUGCAGACACAAACCACACCUCUCUCCAGUUUUCCAUCUACAG